GGGCUAGUGCGGCAUGCUUAACAUGCAGUCGAACGGCAGCACGGGUGCUUGCACCUGGUGGCGAGUGGCGAACGGGUGAGUAAUACAUCGGAACAUGUCCUGUAGUGGGGGAUAGCCCGGCGAAAGCCGGAUUAAUACCGCAUACGAUCUAAGGAUGAAAGCGGGGGACCUUCGGGCCUCGCGCUAUAGGGUUGGCCGAUGGCUGAUUAGCUAGUUGGUGGGGUAAAGGCCUACCAAGGCGACGAUCAGUAGCUGGUCUGAGAGGACGACCAGCCACACUGGGACUGAGACACGGCCCAGACUCCUACGGGAGGCAGCAGUGGGGAAUUUUGGACAAUGGGCGAAAGCCUGAUCCAGCAAUGCCGCGUGUGUGAAGAAGGCCUUCGGGUUGUAAAGCACUUUUGUCCGGAAAGAAAUCCCUGGUCCUAAUAUGGCCGGGGGAUGACGGUACCGGAAGAAUAAGCACCGGCUAACUACGUGCCAGCAGCCGCGGUAAUACGUAGGGUGCGAGCGUUAAUCGGAAUUACUGGGCGUAAAGCGUGCGCAGGCGGUUUGUUAAGACCGAUGUGAAAUCCCCGGGCUCAACCUGGGAACUGCAUUGGUGACUGGCAAGCUAGAGUAUGGCAGAGGGGGGUAGAAUUCCACGUGUAGCAGUGAAAUGCGUAGAGAUGUGGAGGAAUACCGAUGGCGAAGGCAGCCCCCUGGGCCAAUACUGACGCUCAUGCACGAAAGCGUGGGGAGCAAACAGGA
rnacentral:rRNA from 1 species